ACGCUGGCGGCAUGCCUAAUACAUGCAAAUCGAACGAAGCCUUUUAGGCUUAGUGGUGAACGGGUGAGUAACACGUAUCCAAUCUACCCUUAAGUUGGGGAUAACUAGUCGAAAGAUUAGCUAAUACCGAAUAAUAACAUCAAUAUCGCAUGAGAAGAUGUAGAAAGUCGCUCUUUGUGGCGACGCUUUUGGAUGAGGGUGCGACGUAUCAGAUAGUUGGUGAGAUAAUGGCUCACCAAGUCAAUGACGCGUAGCUGUACUGAGAGGUAGAACAGCCACAAUGGGACUGAGACACGGCCCAUACUCCUACGGGAGGCAGCAGUAGGGAAUUUUUCACAAUGGGCGCAAGCCUUAUGAAGCAAUGCCGCGUGAACGAUGAAGGUCUUAUAGAUUGUAAAGUUCUUUUAUAUGGGAAGAAACGCUAAAAUAGGAAAUGAUUUUAGUUUGACUGUACCAUUUGAAUAAGUAUCGGCUAACUAUGUGCCAGCAGCCGCGGUAAUACAUAGGAUGCAAGCGUUAUCCGGAUUUACUGGGCGUAAAACGAGCGCAGGCGGGUUUGUAAGUUUGGUAUUAAAUCUAGAUGCUUAACGUCUAGCUGUAUCAAAAACUGUAAACCUAGAGUGUAGUAGGGAGUUGGGGAACUCCAUGUGGAGCGGUAAAAUGCGUAGAUAUAUGGAAGAACACCGGUGGCGAAGGCGCCAACUUGGACUAUCACUGACGCUUAGGCUCGAAAGUGUG
rnacentral:rRNA from 1 species